rnacentral:rRNA from 1 species
AUCGAACGUGGCGGCAGGCUUUAUCACAUGCAAGUUGAAACGUAACAUAAAGAAUAGCUUGCUUUUAUUGAUGACGAGUGGCGGACGGGUGAGUAAUGCUUGGGAAUUGCCUUAUAGAGGAAGAUAACUACGGGAAACUGUAGCUAAUCCCGCAUAAUAUAUACGGAUUAAAGUGUGGGAUCUUCGGACCACAUACCAUAAGAUGAGCCCAAGUGAGAUUAGGUAGUUGGUGAGGUAAAGGCUCACCAAGCUGACGAUCUUAGUGGUUUGAGAGGAUGACCAGCCACACUGGGACUGAGACACGGCCCAGACUCCUACGGGAGGCAGCAGUGGGGAAUAUUGCACAAUGGGCGCAAGCCUGAUGCAGCCAUGCCGCGUGAAUGAAGAAGGCUUUCGGGUUGUAAAGUUCUUUCAUUAGUGAGAAAGGUAUAAAUGUUAAUAGCAUUUGUAAUUGAUGUUAGCUAAAGAAGAAGCACCGGCUAACUCCGUGCCAGCAGCCGCGGUAAUACGGAGGGUGCGAGCGUUAAUCGGAAUAACUGGGCGUAAAGGGCAUGCAGGCGGUUACUUAAGUCAGAUGUGAAAGCCCCGAGCUUAACUUGGGAAUUGCAUUUGAAACUGGGUGACUAGAGUCCUCUAGGGAGGGGUAGAAUUCCACGUGUAGCGGUGAAAUGCGUAGAGAUGUGGAGGAAUACCGAAGGCGAAGGCAGCCCCUUGGAGAGAGAUUGACGCUCAUAUGCGAAAGCGUGGGUAGCAAACAGG